rnacentral:ncRNA from 1 species
CUUAUCCAGAGCGGCAGAGGGACAGGCCCGAUGAAGCCCGGCAACCGGUCGGCGGCAGUCGACAAGGUGCCAAUUCCUGCGGCUGAAAGCAUUCAGUCGAAAGAUGAGG